GGGCCCGCACAAGCGGUGGAUGAUGUGGUUUAAUUCGAUGCAACGCGAAAAACCUUACCUACCCUUGACAUGCCAGGAACGCUGCAGAAAUGCAGCGGUGCCCGAAAGGGAACCUGGACACAGGUGCUGCAUGGCUGUCGUCAGCUCGUGUCGUGAGAUGUUGGGUUAAGUCCCGCAACGAGCGCAACCCUUGCCAUUAGUUGCUACAUUCAGUUGAGCACUCUAAUGGGACUGCCGGUGACAAACCGGAGGAAGGUGGGGAUGACGUCAAGUCCUCAUGGCCCUUAUGGGUAGGGCUACACACGUCAUACAAUGGCGCGUACAGAGGGUUGCCAACCAGCGAUGGGGAGCCAAUCCCAGAAAGCGCGUCGUAGUCCGGAUUGAAGUCUGCAACUCGACUUCAUGAAGUCGGAAUCGCUAGUAAUCGCGGAUCAGCAUGUCGCGGUGAAUACGUUCCCGGGCCUU
rnacentral:rRNA from 1 species